UACGAAGGGGGCAAGCGUUGUUCGGAAUUACUGGGCGUAAAGGGUGCGUAGGCGGUUUGGUAAGUCUUAUGUGAAAUCUACAGGCUCAACUUGUAGUCUGCAUGAGAAACUGCCGGGCUUGAGUAUGGGAGAGGUGAGUGGAAUUCCUGGUGUAGCGGUGAAAUGCGUAGAUAUCAGGAGGAACACCUGUGGCGAAAGCGGCUCACUGGACCAUAACUGACGCUGAUGCACGAAAGCUAGGGGAGCAAACAGG
rnacentral:rRNA from 1 species